ensembl:lncRNA
AGUACAGCGGCAGCCGGUGACCACCAAAACUGUACGGAGGUGGACACCGGAAGCCCUGGAGACCCUGCAGGGAUGUUUUGAGGUGACUGACUGGGAUGUGUUCUGUGACACUCACGGUGAGGAUGUAGACACACUCACAGACUGUAUCACAGAAUAUGUUAAUUUUUGCACAGAUUCUCUAAUCCCCACCAGGUCAAUACGCUGCUUUCCAAACAAUAAACCAUGGGUGACAAAGGACAUCAAGGCAUCACUCAACAGAAAGAAGACAGCCUUCUUGAGUGGAGACAGAGAGGAGAUGAGGAGGGCCCAGGCAGAGGUGAAGGAGAAGAUUGGAGAGGGCAAGGAGAGCUACAGGAGGAAGCUGGAGAGCCAACUUGCCCGGAACAACUUGAGGGAGGUAUGGAGUGGCAUGCGAACCAUCACCGGCCACAAUAGGAUCUCCGACCAGCUGAUGGAUGGAGAUCUGCAGGAGGCCAACCAGCUGAACCUGUUUUUCAACAGGUUUGAUAGUCCACUCCCUGACCACCCUCCCCCUCCCCCUCCCUGUGAUGCACCAUUAACACCUGUCAAUAACAACAAUGUACCUCCUCCUCCCCCUCCCCCUAACCAUACUAACCAGUUUCACCUUCCCAUCAAUAACAUCACCCUGCCCCCCUUACCCCACCUUCCAUUAACAACCCCCCACCCUCCCCCAUCAGAUCUCUCUCUCUGCUCUUCUGUGUCCACAGUUACCAUCACCACAGAGGAUGUGAGGAGGGAGUUCAGUCGACUACGACCGGGAAAAGCUGCAGGACCGGACGGACUCAGCCCCAGAGUACUCAGGGACUGCGCCACACAGCUGUGUGGGGUCUUCCAGCACAUCUUCUCCCUGAGUCUGAGCCUGAUGACUGUCCCUGCCCUGUGGAAGACAACAUGCCUUGUUCCUGUGCCCAAGACCAAACAUCCAAGCACACACAGCGACUACAGACCAGUUGCUCUGACUUCACAUGUGAUGAAGUCUCUGGAGAGGCUGGUCCUGAAACACCUGCGUGCUGUUGUGGAACCAUCGCUGGACCCCCUGCAGUUUGCUUACCAGCCCCGUAUUGGAGUGGAGGACGCCAUCAUCUACCUGCUGCACAGAGCACACACCUACUUGGAGGAGGCAGGUAACACUGUUAGAAUCAUGUUCUUUGAUUUUUCCAGUGCGUUUAACACCGUGC